UACGUAAGGGGCGAGCGUUAUCCGGAUUUAUUGGGCAUAAAGAGCACGCAGGCGGUGUCCCCAGUCAGAUGUUAAAUGCCAUAGCUUAACUGUGGUAUGCAUUUGAUACUAGGACACUAGAGAUUGGGAGAGGGAAGUAGAACUCAUGGUGUAGCGGUGAAAUGCGUAGAUAUCAUGAGGAAUACCAGUGGCGAAGGCGGCUUCCUGGACCAAUUCUGACGCUGAGGUGCGAAAGCGUGGGGAGCAAACGGG
rnacentral:rRNA from 1 species